UUAGGAAUAUUGGGCAAUGGAGGAAACUCUGACCCAGCAACGCCGCGUGAAGGAUGAAGGUUUUCGGAUUGUAAACUUCUGAUCUGAGGGAAAAAGAAAGUGAUGGUACCUCAGGAGAAAGCCACGGCUAACUACGUGCCAGCAGCCGCGGUAAUACGUAGGUGGCGAGCGUUGUCCGGAAUAACUGGGCGUAAAGGGAGUGUAGGUUGCGAUUUAAGUUAGAUGUGAAAGCCCGGGGCUCAACUCCGGAAUUGCAUUUAAAACUGGAUUGCUAGAGUGCAGGAGGGGUAAGCGGAAUUCCUA
rnacentral:rRNA from 1 species